CCGUUGACAAAACGGAGGAAGGUGGGAUGACGUCAAUCAUCAUGCCCCUUAUGUUCUGGGCUACACACGUGCUACAAUGGCCGGUACAGACGGAGGCGAAGCCGCGAGGCGGAGCAAAUCCGAAAAAGCCGGUACUCAGUUCGGAUUGCAGGCUGCAAUUCGCCUGCAUGAAGUCGGAAUCGCUAGUAAUCGCAGGUCAGCAUACUGGCGGUGAAUACCGGUUCCCGGGCCUU
rnacentral:rRNA from 1 species